UGAAUCUAACACAGGGCUGUAGAUUAAUCACAGUUAAUUUACGUGAUUAACUCAAAAAAAUUAAUUGGGAUUAAUCGCAGUUUUCAUCACACUUAAACAAUAGAAUACCAAUUGAAAUGUAUUAAAUAUUUUUGGAUGUUUUUCUACAUUUUCAAAUAUAUUCAUUUCAAUUACAACACAGAUUACAAAGUGUACACUCUUCACUUUAUA